CAAACAGUGGGGAGCACCAGCAGCCUGUUCAAACACAUCUCCAGUUUAAAGAAAUCAGGCCUUCUAACGUUUGGUGUUAGACUACUUUAGUUGUAGAAAAGCUUUGCUCAGAGUGAGAGUAGUAAAGCUAUGCUAGGAAGUCACUAAAGUCCCUGUACUAUUACAAAUACUAAAGUCACCUCGCCCUAGCAGGUGUAACAACACUAACAGGAGAGUGAGGAGGACGUUAAUUGAACACACACAGACCUUGGAAGAGUUCUAUCCAGGCAGCAUGAGUGAAAACACCUGCGUAAGGCCGAUCGUUUCCUCGAACACAAGCAAACGCGAGCUGAUGAGAGGAAGACGUGGGUUAAACCGCACACUCUGACAAACAUCAGUCGAGAGGGAACCUGCCGCCUCUGUGAGACACAGAUAAGCCUACACAUUUCAACUGAAUACCUGAAGCUGAAGACUUCAACAGAGAAGCGGGCGCUGGAGGGGGUCCCGGGGCCUGGCAGGAAGCUGAGUGUGUGCUCCAUGUUGAAGGAGGAAAUUGAGACGUUGGAGGGUGCGGGGAGGGAAUCACACACCACUGCAGAGGAGGACAGAAUGACAAUAUUAACUCUGAAAUUUAAAGCACAGUGAGAUUACUUGAAUUUUCAAUGAUUUUAUCUGCUCUCUCUUCUUACCUUGCAUCCACACAUUGCUAAAUCUACAGACAAACAUUUCCUGUGCAUUAACAAACUUUCCAACUAAACAGAAUUACUUUGCUUUUACUGCUGCUGUCAACAUCUUCACACACCUUGCCACAAUAUAAGUUAAAAUCUGAGUCCAAAGGUGUAAAAACAAAGACCUGGAGCUCAUUAAAACACAUAUACACAAAUACUAAUAAAACCCCAAAACGUAACAAAAACACACAUUCUCAUAUUCACCAUUUAAACCUUCCACUUCCUCCCCACAUUCAAUCCAGGGAGCAUUACCAAGGUGUAAAUGCAGAAGAAGAAGCAUCCACAACCCCAUCUUCCCCCCCAUGGACUGUGUUAUGGCUCGCAGGUUAAACACUGUAUGCAAGAUGAUAAGGCUCUUGUUUUUAACAUAUAGAGAGGGAUGGGAGGGAGGGAGGGAGCUGGGGGUUUGUGUGGGGGUUGGGAAACGAACACACAGUUUGUUAUCAUGUUCAUGGUUGAGUUUCUAUUUCCCCAGAAGUCCCUCCCUGUGCAUUCUGCCCUUCAAAUCCUGCAUUUAACUGAGAGACGUCGCAGUGGCAGAAAGUGGAGUCAGCAAACGUGACUUUUUACCCUGUUUUCUGAUCUGUGUGAGUUUUAUUUUUAUGCUGUUUAUGUGUAAAUAUAUUUGUCUGUGCUUUGGGGGAGUUAGCUUGAAGAAUGUGUACACAGGGAAGCCUUUACAUUAAUACAAAUGACAAAACAUUGACAUGUCAAAUGUAACUUUAUUGGUUGUGAUUUGCAAAGUGAAAUACAUGUUUAUGGACUGAACACUAAUGAACAUGAGCAGCAGAAUAGCUUGACACUGAGUUACAGAAUGGCUUUAACAUUGAGUAUAAAAAUACAGAAAUGUCACAUGUACGGAAUCUGUUUGAUUAAAUUGUUUAAAUAAAGUUAUAACUAGCAAUAAUACAUGUUUUACUUCAAUAACCUGAUGCAAUGUGUAACUUUGAAUAAGUGUAAUGUUAAUAUGACUGUACAUUGAACAUGACAUGGUAAUAAAAAUAUGUAUAACAUGAUAA